rnacentral:rRNA from 1 species
CCUACGGGAGGCUGCAGUGGGGAAUAUUGGACAAUGGGGGAAACCCUGAUCCAGCGACGCCGCGUGAGUGAAGAAGUAUUUCGGUACGUAAAGCUCUAUCAGCAGGAAAGAAAAUGACGGUACCUGACUAAUAAGCCCCGGCUAACUACGUGCCAGCAGCCGCGGUAAUACGUAGGGGGCAAGCGUUAUCCGGAUUUACUGGGUGUAAAGGGAGCGUAGACGGCAGCGCAAGUCGGACGUGAAAUGCCGGGGCCCAACCCCGGAACUGCUUUGGAAACUGUGAAUCUGGAGUGCAGGAGAGGUAAGCGGAAUUCCUGGUGUAGCGGUGAAAUGCGUAGAUAUCAGGAGGAACAC